rnacentral:rRNA from 1 species
UGAGGAAUAUUGGUCAAUGGGCGAGAGCCUGAACCAGCCAAGUAGCGUGAAGGAUGACGGCCCUACGGGUUGUAAACUUCUUUUGUGCGGGAAUAAAGGAGCCUACGUGUAGGCUUUUGCAUGUACCGUAACGAAUAAGCAUCGGCUAACUCCGUGCCAGCAGCCGCGGUAAUACGGAGGAUGCGAGCGUUAUCCGGAUUUAUUGGGUUUAAAGGGAGCGUAGACGGGUUUUUAAGUCAGCUGUGAAAGUUUGGGGCUCAACCGUAAAAUUGCAGUUGAUACUGGGUGUCUUGAGUACAGUAGAGGCAGGCGGAAUUCGUGGUGUAGCGGUGAAAUGCUUAGAUAUCACGAAGAACCCCGAUUGCGAAGGCAGCCUGCUGGACUGUAACUGACGCUGAUGCUCGAAAGUGUGGGUAUCAAACAGGAUUAGAUACCCUGGUAGUCCACACAGUAAACGAUGAAUACUCGCUGUUUGCGAUAUACAGUAAGCGGCCAAGCGAAAGCGUUAAGUAUUCCACCUGGGGAGUACGCCGGCAACGGUGAAACUCAAAGGAAUUGACGGGGGCCCGCACAAGCGGAGGAACAUGUGGUUUAAUUCGAUGAUACGCGAGGAACCUUACCCGGGCUUGAAUUGCAACUGAAUGAUGUGGAGACAUGUCAGCCGCAAGGCAGUUGUGAAGGUGCUGCAUGGUUGUCGUCAGCUCGUGCCGUGAGGUGUCGGCUUAAGUGCCAUAACGAGCGCAACCCUUAUCGAUAGUUACCAUCAGGUUAUGCUGGGGACUCUGUCGAGACUGCCGUCGUAAGAUGUGAGGAAGGUGGGGAUGACGUCAAAUCAGCACGGCCCUUACGUCCGGGGCUACACACGUGUUACAAUGGGGGGUACAGAAGGCAGCUACACGGUGACGUGAUGCUAAUCCCUAAAGCCUCUCUCAGUUCGGAUUGGAGUCUGCAACCCGACUCCAUGAAGCUGGAUUCGCUAGUAAUCGCGCAUCAGCCACGGCGCGGUGAAUACGUUCCC